rnacentral:rRNA from 1 species
UACGGAGGAUGCAAGCGUUAUCCGGAUUUAUUGGGUUUAAAGGGUGCGUAGGCGGAUAUGUAAGUCAGCGGUGAAACUCACAGGCUCAACCUGUGCCGUGCCGUUGAAACUGUGUAUCUGGAAUGCGGAUGCUGUGGGAGGAAUGUGUAGUGUAGCGGUGAAAUGCAUAGAUAUUACACAGAACACCGAUUGAGAAGGCAUCUCACAAAGCCGUUAUUGACGCUGAGGCACGAAAGUGUGGGGAUCAAACA